UACGUAGGGUGCAAGCGUUGUCCGGAAUUAUUGGGCGUAAAGAGCUCGUAGGCGGCUUGUUGCGUCUGCUGUGAAAUCCCGGGGCUUAACCCCGGGCGUGCAGUGGAUACGGGCAGGCUGGAGGCAGGCAGGGGAGAACGGAAUUCCCGGUGUAGCGGUGAAAUGCGCAGAUAUCGGGAGGAACACCGGUGGCGAAGGCGGCCUUCUGGACAGUGACUGACGCUGAGACGCGAAAGCGUGGGGAGCAAACAGG
rnacentral:rRNA from 1 species